AUUUAUGUAACCAUUCAUCCCUUGAAGAACAUCUGGGUUGUUUCCAGUGGGCAAUUAUAAACAGAGCCUCUAUCAACAUUCCUGUACCAGUUUUAGAAUGAACAUAAAUUUAUAUUUCUCUAAGUACUCAGGAGUAGAAUUGACGUUCUGUCAUAUGGAUAGCCACUGAGCAAGCCUGUAAGGCUAUUGGUCUGCCCAUUCUGGUUUCUUCACCAAUGAGAAAACUGGGACCUGGGGAGUUUGCAGAAGCCAUCCAAGGGCACCUGCUUCUCACAGCACAGCAGCUUCCUGCAGCCCUCCCUCCUGUCUUGUUUCUCCCUUAAUUGAGAGGAGAGGCCAGAACCAGAUGCAGGCAGUUCCAACAGUAAUGAAUUGCUCUAAGGUGUGGAUCCAAGAACCGGUGACAAGGUCAGGAAAUUCCAUCCCGGGACACUGACCCAACUAAGAGACUGUGCAUGAUGGCUAAGUUCAGAGCUCUGAGGAGAUGGUAAAACUCAUUUGCAACGAAACAAGAUAUUUUCCAACUCUGCAGCCAGGUGCAGAAAGCUGGAAGUGAUGCUCCAGGGAGUUUAUGUCUCCCCAUCUUGACCCACACCAAUACCUGAGGCUCGUUGCUUUGAUUCAAGUCCGGACAAGCUCUAAGGUUCAGCUCACACUGGGAGUCACGCUGCAGGAGCUCCUGGGAGUCUGUGAACGGUGGUGAUGCAGAAAAGCAAAGCGUGUAUAUCUGUUUUAGUCCUCCCUCAGAUCUGCUGAGGACACCUUGAGCCUGAAGUGAAAUCACAGUGGCUCUCAGGAAGAAGGGUGACUGUCUGGUGUGCAGUUGUGCUGCCACGGCAAAGGGAACUUUAAAACAUAGAACUGCCAUGUAGAAGCUCAGGAAAUAUCCAUGGUCUGUCAUCUCUUUUGGUCAUAGAAUCAAAAAAAAUGGAAGACGAGAAAAGGCAGUGAAGACUGACAGCCUGUUGGUUGCUAUUCCAGUCGUGUCUGCUCCAUACGCGCCCUCCAUCUCAUCCCACCCAGUCAGUAUAUUUUCACCAGGCAGUGUUGCAGAAAUGUCUGUGGACUCCAGUUCUAUUGCAGUCAGGCAGCAUUUACAGGUUUGACUUUCAACUGACCAUGGCAGGAAGUCUAGAGGCAAUUAUAGCCAACACCUGCUCUAUGUGCGUGCCGGGCAGGUGGUGGCUGAUUCCUUGCCUCCAAUCCAUGAUGUGUUUCCUAUCAGCUCAGAAUAAUAACAGUGACACCUCUGCUUCUUCUCUGUCUGGGGGAGCUCAAGGCACUUUACUCUGAAAACCCUCAAAUUACUGGCAUUUCUUUUAGUGAAGAUAUCAAAUUAAUGACUGAAAAAAAUGUAGAAGAUGGUUAUUGGUGAUGUUAAAAGACAAGUUUAACCCACUUCCACACAACAUGUCUUACAAGCGUAAAGUAUUUGAGUAGAGAAAACUAUGAAUCUAAAAUUGAACAAGAUGUGAAUUUAGACAGACAGCGUUUGUGGUCACAGAUGUGCCGAGAUGAAGACUGGAGGAAGGGCACAGUUUCUGUAGCAGUGACUUCCACCCAGGGUGUGUCUUGCUAUUGUGUGAAAUGAUUUUUGACACUGGACAAAUCUCUACUUCCACUUACAAUGUUUUGCCAGCUAGCUGAGGCAUUCUGGGAGGGUGAGGAGCCUGGGCUUGGGCUGACCUCAGGAAAUCCUGUGUAAAGGGCUUUUGCACACUCAGAAGCAGGCCAGGUUCACCGCUGUUAUGUGCAAUAUUCACUCCUGGCUCUUGCUUCUGAGCCUUGGCAAACCUGAGUCCUAAGAGGCCAAUGAAAAGGAAAACACGUUAAGGAGCCAGGGCGCUUCUUGGAUAUCAGCCUGAAUAGUUCUGUUUCAUCUGGACCCCAAUUUUACUCUCCUGCUGUUUUACACGGAACUAAAAAGAGCUUUACAGAGGACCAGAUAGACUGCAGGUCCCUAGGCAGUCAGGGGCCAGGCAAGGCAUAGGAGGGUGUCAGGCCUCUGAGCUCAAACUAGGCCAUCAUAUCCCCUGUGACCUGCACGUACACAUCCAGAUGGCUGGUUCCUGCCUUAACUGAUGGCAUUGUCUUGUGAAAUUCCUUCUCCUGGCUCAUCCUGGCUCAAGAGCUCCCCUACUGAGCACGUUGUGACCCCCACUCCUGCCUGCCAGAGAACAACCCCCCUUUGACUGUAAUUUUCCUUUACCUACCCAAAUCCUAUAAAAUGGCCCCACCCCUAUCUCCCUUCACUAACUCUCUUUUCGGACUCAGCCUGCCUGCACCCAGGUGAAAUAAACAGCCUUGUUGCUCACACAAAGCCUGUUUGGUGGUCUCUUCACAGGGACUCGCAUGAAAUUUGGUGCUGUGGCUCGGAUAGGGGGACCUCCCUCGGGAGAUCAAUCCCCUGUCCUCCUGCUCUUUGCUCCAUGAGAAAGAUCCACCUACGACCUCAGGUCCUCAGACCAAGCAGCCCAAGAAACAUCUCACCAAUUUCAAAUCUGGAAAGCAGCCUCUUUUUACUCUCUUCUCCAACCUCCCUCAAUAUCCCUCAACCUCUUUCUCUUUUCAAUCUUGGUGCCACACUUCAAUCUCUCCCUUCUCUUAAUUUCAAUUCGUUUCAUUUUCUGGUAGAGACAAAGGAGACACGUUUUAUCUGUGGACCCAAAACUCCGGCGCCGGUCACGGCCUGGGAAGGCAGCCUUCCCUUGGUGUUAAUCAUUGCAGGGAUGCCUCUCUGAUUAUUCACCCACGUUUCAGAGGUGUCGGACCACACAGGGACGCCUGCCUUGGUCCUUCACCCUUAGUGGCAAGUCCUGCUUUUCUGGGGGAGGGGCAAGAACCCCAACCCCUUCUCUCCAUGUCUCUACCUCUUCUCUGCUUUUCUGGGGGAGGGGCAAGAACCCCUCAACCCCUUCUCCUUCACCCUUAAUGGCAAGUCCCACUUUUCUGGGGGAGGGGCAAGAACCCCUCAACAUCUUGUCCUUCACUGUUAGCAGCAAGUCUCACUUUUCUGGGGGAGGGGCAAGAACCCCUCAAACCCUUGUCCUUCACCGUCAGCAGCAAGUCCCGCUUUUCUGGGAGAGGGGCAAGAACCUCUCAACCCCUUCUCCUUCACCCUUAGAGGCAAGUCCCGCUUUUCUGGGGGAGAGGCAAGAACCCCUUAUUUCCACAGCCCGACCUCUUAUCUCUGUGCCCUGAUCCCUUAUUUCUGUGCCCUGACCUCUUAUCUCUGCACCCCAACCCCUUAUUUCUGCACCCCCACCUCUUUCCCACUUUUCUGGAGGGUAAGAACCCCCGAACCCCUUCCCUCCAUGUCUCUACUCUCUCUUUUCUCUAGCCUUGCUUCCUUCACUAUGGGCAACCUUCCACCCUCCAUUCCUCCUUCUUCUCCCUUAGCCUGUGUUCUCAAGAACUUAAAACCUCUUCAACUCACACCUGACCUAAAACCUAAAUGCCUUAUUUUCUUCUGCAAUGCCGCUUGAUCCCAAUACAAACUUGGCAGUAGUUCCGAAUAGCCGGAAAACAGCACUUUCAAUUUUUCCAUCCUACAAGAUCUAAAUAAUUCUUGUCGUAAAAUAGGCAAACAGUCUGAGGUGCUGACGUCCAGGCAUUCUUUUACACAUUGGUCCCUCCCUAGUCUCUGUUCCCAAUGCAACUCGUCCCAAAUCUUCCUUCUUUCCCUCCCACCUGUCCCCUCAGUCCCAACCCCAAGUGUCGCUGAGUCUUUCUAAUCUUCCUUUUCUACAGACCCAUCUGACCUCUCCCCUCCUCUCCAGGCUGAGCUAGGUCCCAAUUCCUCCUCAGCUUCCGCUCCUCCACCCUGUAAUCCUUUUAUCACCUCGCCUCCUCACACCCAGUCCGGCUUACAGUUUCGUUCCUUGACUAGCCCUCCCCCACCUGCCCAGCAAUUUACUCUUAAAAAGGUGGAUGGAGCUAAAAGCAUAGUCAAGGUUAAUGCUCCUUUUUCUUUAUCCCAAAUCAGACAGCGUUUAGGCUCUUUUUCAUCAAAUAUAAAAAUCCAGCCCAGUUCAUGGCUCGUUUGGCAGCAACCCUGAAAUGCUUUACAGCCCUAGACCCUAAAAGGUCAAAAGGCCAUCUUAUUCUCAAUAUACAUUUUAUUACCCAAUCUGCUCCCGACAUUAAAUAAAACUUCAAAGAUUAAAUUCCAGCCCUCAAACCCCACAACAGGAUUUAAUUAACCUUGCCUUCAAGGUGUACAAUAAUAGAGUAGAGGCAGCCAAGUAGUAACAUAUUUCUGAGUUGCAAUUCCUUGUCUCCACCAUGAGACAAACCCCAGCCACAUCUCCAGCACACAAGAAUUUCCAAAUGCCUAAACCGCAGUGGCCAGGCAUUCCUCCAGCACCACCUCCCCCAGAAGCUUGCUACAAGUGCCAGAAAUCUGGCCACCAGGCCAAGGAAUGCCCGCAGCCCGGGAUUCCUCCUAAGCCAUGUCCCAUCUGUGGGGGACCCCACUGGAAAUCGGACUGUUCAACUCACCUGGCAGCCACUCCCAGAGCCCCUGGAACUCUGGCCCAAGGCUGUCUGACUGACUUCUUCCCAGAUCUUCUCGGCUUAGUGGCUGAAGACUGACAUGCCCGAUCGCCUCAGAAGCCCGAUAGACCAUCAUGGAUGCCGAGCUUUAGGUAACUCUCACAGUGGAGGGUAAGUCCGUCCCCUUCUUAAUCAAUAUGGAGGCUACCCACUCCACGUUACCUUCUUUUCAAGGGCCUGUUUCCAUUGUCUCCGUAACUGUUGUGGGUAUUGACAGCCAGGCUUCUAAACCUCUUAAACUCCCCAACUCUGGUGCCAACUUAGACAGUACUCUUUUAAGCACUCCUUUUUAGUUAUCCCCACCUGCCCAGUUCCCUUAUUAGGCCCAGACACUUUAAAUUAUCUGCUUCCCUGACUAUUCCUAGGCUACAGCCACACCUCAUUGCCACCCUUCUUCCCAAUCCAAAGCCUCUUUUGCGUCUUCCUCUUGUAUCCCCCCACCUUAACUCACAAGUAUAGGAUACCUCUACUCCCUCCUUGGUGACCGAUCAUGCACCCCUUACCAUCUCAUUAAAACCUAAUCACCCUUAUCUCCCUUCGCUGAAAGCCUAUAAACUCUCCUUACAAUUUCCCCAUUUUACCUGUCCAAAAACCAGACAAGCCUUACAAGUUAGUUCAGGAUCUGCGCCUUGUCAACCAAGUUGUUUUGCCUAUCCACUCUUUGGUGCCAAACCCAUAUACUCCCGUAUCCUCAAUACCUCCCUCUACAAUCCAUUAUUCUGUUCUGGAUCUCAAACAUGCUUUCUUUACUAUUCCUUUGCACCCUUCAUACCCAGCCUCUCUUCGCUUUCACUUGGACUGACCCUGACACCCAUUAGGCUCAGCAAAUUACCUAGGCUGUACUGCUGCAAGACUUCACAGACAGCCCCCAUUACUUCAGUCAAGCCCAAAUUUCAUCCUCAUCUGUUACCUAUCUUGGCAUAGUUCCCAUAAAAACACAUGACAUGGUCUCCCUGCUGAUCAUGUCAUCCCUACUAUCUUCUGUCUAGUCAAACUCCUAUUCACCAUUCUCAACUACUCAUACAUGCCCUGCUCUUGUUUACACUGCCGGUUUACACUGUUUCUCCAAGCCAUCACAGCUGAUAUUUCCUGGUGCUAUCCCCAAACUGCCACUCUUAACUCUUGAAGUAAAUAAAUAAUCUUUGCUGGUAGGACUAUGCUGAAUCUCCUUAGGCAGUCUCUAAUUAGAUGUCCUGGGUCCUCCCAAUUCUUAGACCUUUAAUACCUGUUUUUCUCCUUCUCUUAUUCCGUUUAGUUUUUCAAUUCAUACAAAACUGUAUCCAGGCCAUCACCAAUCAUUCUAAAUGACAAAUGUUUCUUCUAACAGUCCCACAAUAUCACCCCUUACCACAAAAUCUUCCUUCAACUUAAUCUCUCCCACUCUAGGUUCCCACGCCGCCCCUAAUCCCACUCAAAGCAGCCCUGAGAAACAUCGCCCAUUAUCUCUCCAUACCAUCCCCAAAAAUUUUCGCCACUCCAACACUUUACCACUAUUUCAUUUUAUUUUUCUUAUUAAUAUAAGAAGACACGACUUGACAGAGGGGAGAAGCGGCACACAGAGGCUCAUGUCUGGGAGGGUAACGCAUGUUUCUGAGGCUGGCUCAGCUGCGCAGUGGUGCUGUUAAGAGCCAGGGCUGGGAGGCACCAUUGUGGUUUCCCAUUGGCCAGGAAUCACAUGACUCUUGGACCCGGAAUUUAUGUUCCACGUGUCCCUGACUCUCAAAGUAAAAGUCAGGCUAAAAGUCUUUAAAAAUAAAGGAGAAACUUGGUUUGCAAAUCCACUCUCUGAUUCAGGCAUUUCAAAGGAAUUCCUGCCCAGACAUUUCAAUACUCAAAGCACGGCAGGGAAAGUGAGAGAUGCCAUGUUCCUCCUUGGCCUCUUUUCUGGCUUUCAUGGAUUUCCAAGGGGCCACCCUGAGCAAUGCCAUCUAGGUCAAGUUUAAAGAUGGGCUAGUUCUGAGGAGACGUGCUGUGUUUCCUUUCUUUGUAGGAAGGCUUGGCUUCUUACUCUGUGACAAAACACGGGGCACCAGGAGCCCUGAGCCUGCAUUUUUUCCUGUGGCCUUUGCUUUUCUCUGGAGAUGCACCUCUCACUGCACUCACUGUGGGCACUGAACUGUGAGUUCAGCUCAGUCCCUGAGACUGUUUUCCUUGCUAGCAAGAAACAUCUUCACAUUUCCUUAGAACCCUUCUGUGUCCUGGGGUCUCAUUUUCCAUUUUUCCAGCCUCAGUUCUCCUACUUGUGAUGGCUGGCAAACGCUGAUGCCUAUGGGGCCAGCAGGUUCGUAACUGAGGAUAGUGAAGGGUAGCAGGGAGUGGUGGGAACUGGGCCACCUGGUGAGUGCACACACUGCCUAAAUGGGAUCAGUCUGUUUCAAUGCUGCCAUUCAGGACUGUAGGCCAGUCUUGCAAGAAAUCUACAGUUUUAUGCAAAAUCAUUCAAUUACCCAUGAAAUGAAUUCAAGACCACCUAUAAUGAAUUCCAGUGGCUCACACCUGUAAUCCCAGGAGUUCAAGACCAGCCUGGGCAACAUAGGAAGACCCAGGGUGGUCUUGAGCUCCUGACGGGAAGCAAUCCUCCCUCCUCAGCUUUCCAAAGGGCUUUUGUUGGUAAUAAAACCAUAUAUAUAUAGAUAUAUUAGCUGGGUGUGGUGCAGUGCCCCUGUGGUCCCGGCUACUUGGCAGGCUGAGGUGGGAUUAUGGCUUGAGCCAGGGAGGUUGAGGUUGCAGUGAGCUGUAAUUGCACCAUUGCACUACAGACUGGGCAACUGAGUGAGACCCCAUCUUUAGGGAAAAUAUUUAACAUCAUGACAAAGGCACAGUUAGCCAAAGUACACAUUUGUCAGAUGCUCAGUUUUUAAUUUCUGCUUUGCAAAUUGGAGCAAUUGGAGGGUGUUUUAAAAAGGCAGGACAUGAUCCAAAUGGCCAUGGACAAGAUGAGCUAUCAGUAGGGGGACUGGCUAUGAAGCAGCCUCUGCAUCAUUCCAGGGACGAGAUGGUGAGGGCCAGAAAAUAAUGACAAAGAAGACCUGGAUUUUAGAAAUAUUUCUGAAAUAGAUUUCUUAGUCCUGUCAAAGAUGAACAAAGAUGAACGCUAAAGUGGUAAGGACAGAUUUUAAUCAGUAACAACUAUUGCAGCUGGGAAAAGAGCCCAGCAGAAAUUGAACUUAACUUUGAUUUGUGGAGGUCACUGGGCAUUUUAAAGUGAGAAUGGGCCAGGCUCAGUGCCUCACACCUGUAAUCACAGCACUUUGGGAGUGAAGUGGGAGGAUUGCUUGAAGCCAGGAGGUAAAGACCAGCCUGGGCAACAGAACAAGACCUUGUUUCAACAAAAAAUUUUAAAAAAUAGCUGUGUGUGGUGGCACCCACCUGCAGUCCCAGUUACUUGGGAGGCUGAGGUGGGUGUAUUGCCUGAUCCCAGGAAUUCAAGGCUAUAGUGAGUUAUGACUGCACCAUUGCACUCCAACCUGAGCAACAGAGCAAGACUCUGUCUGAGAAAAGGAUAACAUGAGAGAAUGAUGGGUUAGGGAGGGAAGGAGCAGGGGCUUGGCAGAGUUAGGGAAGUGAAACACUACAAAAGCAGGAAGUGGGGUGGUCCAUGUGAAACCCACCUGGGUUUACUAAUGUGUUCCUGUUGAAGUUAGACUCCCACCCCCACAGAGGCUGGGAGGCAGAGACCCUGUCUUCAGGUGUUGGCUGAAAGAAAUGGUAACUUAUUUUAGCAGCCUUGAGCUUUCUCAUGCGGGCACAUGAAGAGGACUAGUGUCAUCUUAGGGAAUGCGGCCUCGCACCAUUGGAAACAAUGUGAGUGUUUGUUCAAGUCUCUAUAGGUCAAGGCUGAAGCCCACCUGGAAAGGUCUCAGAGGAACCUGGAGGAAGUGUGGCCAUGGCGGGGUGGAGGGGGAGGAUCCUGACAGUCCUUAGAAAACUACUGAGUUUUUUGGUGGGAAAGAGCAACAGGUUGGGAACGACCCUGAUGUGCGGUCCUGUCCUGACCGUUGGCUCAUGCUUUCUCCCAGGGCCCUGACCCUUGCCUGUGGUCAGGCCUGCUGCCCCCUCCCUCACGCUGGUUCCCAUAGCCUUCCUGGUUCCUAUCAUGCAUUGCUGCUGUCACUCUGGAAGCAGCCACCAGCUCAUGCACUUCUUUUAAAGGGAAGAAAAUGGCUCUCUGCAACCGAGAGCAAGUAGUUUCAGGAUGAUGGAUCUGUGAUACUAUGGAAAGCAAAUCUGUUAUCUUCCAUGGUGCACAAAACAUGCUGUCACAGUGAUGACUCAUAAUAACCCUUCAGUUUCCUAAAUUGCUUUACUGCUGCUUUUUUAAUUAAGACCCAUUAACUUGUCAUAUAUUGAUAAAGGCAUGACCCUGAAAUAGGUGGAUAAAUUAGGACUCCCAUUCAUUCUGUGCUUUUAUAUGAACGUGUUAAUUAUUUUUGUCAUUAGGAAGAGUGAUGGAAGGAUGGAGAAGCACAAAACACAUUUUGACAAUGUGCUGGUGUUUGCAGCUGGAAACUUGGCGCAUGUCAGAUCCCAUCCUUCACCCUUUCACAGUUAGCACCAAGCGGCCAACCUAGAAUUUCUUGUGCUAAUAGUUCCCAUCACAGAGGCUACUAGAUGGCACAGAGGACCUACUAUUUUGUUUUAGCAGUUGCAUACUGGUAUUUAUAGGAAAACAGAUCUGGUGUUCAAAUGGAGCUUUGUUUAAAUGCAUAGUUGGCUCACACACUAAUUUUCUACAUAAAAUAAUUAUUGGGCUAGGUGCAAUGGCAAUGUAGCCAGGGGUCUGAGCCUUCACGUGAUGAUGAAUGCAAGUGUAGACAAUGUCAUACUGGAGCCCGGCUGGAAGCACCCUUUUCUUCACCAGCUGGCACCCAGGGUCCCUCCCCAUGUGAUGCCCUCCAGGAACCCUGGGGAGGGCAGUGUCCACACAUUUAAUCAUGACUGCCCUGGGGUCCCCUCUCACGGCCUCCCUCUCUCGUCUGUCUUUGGUGUGUGGUGGUGAGGGCCGGGAUUUCUCUCUGGUUUUAAGCGCCUCGUGAGGGAUGUGGACAUUCGGUGCCCUGAGGCUCAGAGGAUGGGGAGGCAGGGUCCUGCCUGUCCCAGUGAGGAGGGCAUGGCCUGGAGGCUUUCCCAGAAGUGGGGGUCCUGAAGAGAAGGAGCCAUGUGACCCUCCUCAAAACCCAACACCAAGUAGAACUCCACACUAGGCAGAUUUGUCUGUAACUGUUUUAUUUGUGGCAUGAAUUAGUUCUGUUUGGAAGUUGAGGACCUUGAUGUAUAAAAUCUCCCAGCUCUGCUGUGAAGGCCUUUGUGGAUUUCCUGAGUCCUGCAUGUGUCUGAGAGAGGGAGGGAGAGGGGACGCCUGUUUCUGCCCUGGAGAACGUGGCUGUGGGUGUACGUGUGUCUGUGUCUCUGAGCAAGGGUGGCUGCUCUAUGAACCCACGCUGAGUGUGUGUGACUGUGCUGCAUGUGUGAGUCUGUGUGAGGGUGUGUGGCUCUGCAUGUUGGAGAAUGGGUGUGUCCGUGUGUGUGGGAAUGUUUGUGGUGCUGUGCGAGUGUCUCCAGGUGGGAGUAUGAGGAUGGGUGUCCUUGUUUGCUGGAGAGCACUGGUGGAGGGUGUGUGUUUAAACUCCAGCUGGAAUCACAGCCCCUGCUGCCAGGCAGUGUCCCGGAGCUGCCCAGCCUGUGGGACAGAUGCCGAGAGCUGAUGAGUAGUGCAUAAACCAACAGUAGCUGAGUUCCGGCCUCCACGAGGCUUGGGGAUGGGAUGGAAAACUGAGCCUUCGGCUCAGAGGAUACCAGGAUUUUAGUGCUUUUUUAGGAAUAUAAAGGCAUGGAGGACAGGGAACUCAGAGAAGGGUAAUCCCUUAGGGUCCCCUCACGUCCACUGUGGGACUCUAUAGCCUCAGCUUCACCAUCCCCAAAUCUCCAGUCCUUCUAUUGCUUAGGGGCCUCCUUGAUUUGUUCAUUAGAUCUCCAGGCACCUGGUGAGAGGCUCUUGGCCCUGGGGUGUCAAUUCUGGCUCAAAGUCAAACUCAGCCCUACAGUUCCCAUCCCCUUUCAGGCUCUGGUGCUCUGACUCACUGAUGACAGCAGGCGGGAAGCAUCUUUGAGCCUGCCCUCCUCCCCUCUUACCCUCCCCACCUCCUUCCUUCCCCAACUCCUCCCCUCGCACCCUCCCCCCUCCCCCCUGCCCCUUUCCACUCUCCUCCCCUCCUCCCCUUCUACCCUCCACCCCUCCCACCCUCCUGUCCUUAGGCCCCUCAGCUGGACUGGAGGUGGGGCCUUGCGAGGCUCUUCAGUGUCUUCCCUACACUGCCUCCUCACUGGAGGCGAGAAGCUCUGCUUGACUGCCUCCCACACUGGCCCCAUUCCUUGCUUCCCUUUUGGUCAAUCACUGUGGUGGUGGGGGGUGGGGGGUGAGGGGUGUGAGUGUAGAGGAGGGCCUGGGAGGGGGAUUUAGGAGUUUGUCAGAGGUGGAAAGAUAACCUCAUGGUAUUAGCUUGCUAGGGCUGUAAUAACAAAGUGUCACAAACUAAACGGCUUCAACAUGAGAAAUCUAUCAUCUUGUGUCCUGAAAACCAGAAGUCAAAAAUCAAGGUGUUGGGAGGGCCGUGGCCAAUCUGAACUCUGCAGGGAACGCUUCCUGGCCUCCUCCUGGCUUCUUCCAGUUUGCAGGGAAUCUGUGCUGUUCCUUGGCUGGCAGCUGCAGGGCUCCAGUUUCUGCCGUCUUUAUCUCAUGGCUGUCCUUCCUGUGCCUCCAACUUCACGUGGCCAUCUUCUUUUUGCUUGUUUGUUUUUGAGACAGAGUCUUGCUCUGUUGCCUAGGCUAGGGUGCAGUGGCACGAUCUCAGCUCACUGCAACUUCUGCCUCCUCUCAAGUGAUUCUCCCACCUCAGCCUCCCUGGUCACUGGACCUACAGGUGCAUGCCACUAUGCCCAGCUAAUGUUUGUAUUUUUGGUAGGGACAGGGUCUCACCAUAUUGCCUAGGCUAGUCUUGAACUCCUGAGCUUAAGCAAUCUGCCUGCCUCGGCUUCCCUAAGUGCUGGGAUUACAGACAUGAGCCCCCAUGCCCGGCACAAGGUCAUCUUCUUAUAAGAACCCCAGUCAUUUUGGAUUAGGGCCCACCUUAUUCUAGUCUGACCUCAUCCUAACUAGUUACAUCUGCAAUGACCCUGUUCCCAACCAAAGGUGCACUCUGUGGCCCUAGGAGCUGAAAUCUCUACCGCAGGCAGAUGUCCUUAUACUGUGCUUUGCUGUAUUGGGUUUCACAGGUACUGUGUUUUUUACAAGUUAUGGCAACCCCACAUUGAGCAAGUCUUAUCGGUGCCAUUUCUCCAAAAGCAUAUGCUUACUUUCUUCCUCUGUGUCAGAAUUUUAGCAGUAUUUUUUUUGUUAAGGUAAGUACACUUUUUAGACCUAAUGGCAUUGCACAUUUAAUAGACUACGGUAUAGUGUAAACAUGACUUUUCUAUGAACUGGGAAACCAAAAAGUUUGCGUGACUCACUCUAUUUUGAUGGUCUGGAACUAAACUCGCAAUAUCACUGAGGUAUGCACAUAUCUUUUGGGGAGGACACAAUUCAGCCUGUAAUCAUCUCACAGUCAUCCCGUUAUUUACCCAGGAUCCAUGUUUUCAGAUAAAUCUCCAACCCCUCUCGCGUUUCCAGUUCUUUCUCUCACCCUGUUUAUUACCACAAUUAAUCACCAGCAGCACAACCUCACCUUCGCCGACCUCUCCACAGGAAAGAAAAUAAAAUAUUGAGGAGCAGCAAAGGAGUGAGACUGUGUAUUCAUGGCAGCAGUCCAAGUCUGCUCGGAUUAUCUGCACCCCCAAGAGGCAGUGUAAGAGCUGAUUUUAAGGAGGUGAUGAGAAAACAACAACAACAAAACAACUAAAAGUCACUCGAGAUUUUGAAAAGAGCUAUUCUGCCCUUUUAUGCCAGGGAAAGCUCAGAUUCCAAACUUUUAUUUCCCUUUCUGGAGCUGAGCUGUCUAAUUUUUAAAGGUGCUGCUAAUCAGCUUUCUUACAUUUCAUUUCCUGUCAUCCCCACUAGAUUAAUGGUUCCUGCUUCUGACGCUGGAAGCCACAAUGUGCUCCUUUAAAUUCUUAGUGAUGAAGUAUUUGCAUUUCUUUCUUUUUCUGAGGAAGCUUAGGUGCGCAUAUAAAAUAUAGAAUUUCAGUCUCCCAGUAUUGGCACUACGGUACGUGUGUGUGUGAGUGUUGUGUUAGGAUGUGUGUGUAGACCACCAUCAGAGAUCCCACCUGAGAGGGCCUCAGAGACCAAGAAUUCAGGGCAUCCCCAUCUGCAAAUCAGAAUCUGCAUUUUAACAAGAUCCCCAGUGACUCACGUGUGUGUACAGCUUAACAAGCUCCACUCUAAGCAACUUAAAAUCCUUAAAAGAGAAGUCUUAAAGUAUCUCUGAGUAAAAGAGGGGUAAAAUUUGCAACUCAGGAAGUUGUCUAUAAUGUGCUAUUUCAACAAAUGAUUUCUAUUUAUUCUUUCUGUAAAAGAAAAAAUAUGCGUGGGGUCUGUAGUCAGACAGCCUGGCCACACCAUUCAGUAGCUGUGCAGCUUUGGGGAAAGGGCUCAGUGUCUGUGAGCUUCAGUUUUUCAUGUGUAAAACAGGUACAGUAAUAGCUCCCAUCACUGGGUUAUUGAGAAUUAAAAAAAAAAUGCAUGUAAAAUGGCUGAGCAGAGUGCCUGGCAAAGACUAAGCACUCAGUCAAUGUUAGCUAUUAAGCCUGUCUUGCAAUUAUUUUUCUCAUGGGAUUCUUUUCCUCAAGCCUGGUGUGUGUGUGUGUGUGUGUGCGUGUGCAUGUGUGUAUGUGUGUGUGUGAAUGAAUGUUACUCUCAGCUUGCUCUAUCUUCCUUGGUCUCCAGAUCUAAAAGCUGGGCGCUAACUUUCCAAAGUCACUAAGGAAUCUGGGCCACCCAGGGUUGGUCUUUGUCUUCCAAAGGUUGAGUCUGGAAUUGCAGGAAGUCAUCUGUUUCCAUGGAGAGGAAGAGGUGUUGCUGGCAGCCGGAAGACGUAGGUUCUAGUCUUGCAGGAUCCCAGACGCUAGGUUCCAGUACUCAAGUACUCAAUGCGCAGUUAGCCAAACACUGACACACCAGUGCUUAGGAGGAGAGAAAGGUUUAUUUGAUUCAACCAAAGUGUGAGAUUGGGAGAGGCAAACUCCAAUCUGACUUGUCUUUGAACACAACUGGGGCUUUGAUGUGUAAGGGAGGUAUGCAGGAGGUGAGAUUCCUGGUGACCGAAGCUGUUCGUGUCCCUCAGUCAAUCAAACUUCCAGAUACCAUUAAGGAGGUCUGCAUGACCUAAGGAUCAUUGUUCUUCUAAAGAAAAUCAAAGAUUACUCUUGCGACCAGCACCCAGGAGUCCAGCUAUGCAGUUAAUCAAUUAUGAGUGACUGCCCUCUAUUAAAAUGAGUACGUGCAAGUAAUCUGUGGAGGGAGAAAAGGACAAAGAGUAAGGAAGAUAAGUAAAAUAAACAAUUUUUAUGAUACAGAUCUGCUCCUAGUCUUAGCACCACCAUUCUGGUCUUAGCCUCAGAAAAAAAGAGAAAACUUCUCUUGACCCUAGUUGCUUCUGCCCAGUUCCUGGGAUUCACUGUGAUGGGAUAGCCUGGGUCACAUGCCCUCCCCUUCAGUAUGCAGAUGGCCAGGCUCCUUUUUGGAAUGUGGGCUGGAUCCCUUCUAAAGAGCAUGGUGGAGGGAAGUAGAGAGACAGCUACUAAGAAAUUCCUCCCUUCAGGGAGAAACGCGAAUGGAUGCGAGGUGGUGCAAAAUCCACAAAGGAGCUCCAGGGGACGUGGCAGGAUCCCUCUGCUAUGACUGUGCUGCAUAAGAGUCUGAGCCCACGCCAACCUAGAGUGUGAGUGCCCCAUCCUACCACGUGUAGUGUGCUUUCUUUUCUUUCCUUUUUAUCUCUCUCUCUUUCUCUUUCUUUCUGUCUCUCUCUUUUUCUAUCUUUCCCUCUCUCUCUCUCUUUGGUGCUCUCUCUCUUUCUUUCAACAGGGUCUUAUUCUGUUGCCAAGGCUGAAGUGCAGUGCUGCAGUUAUAACUCACUGCAGCCUUGAACUCCCAGGCUCAAAUAAUUCUCUUGUUUCAGCCUUCUGAGUAGCUAGGACUACAGGUGCAUGCCACCUGUAGCAUGCCUGGCUAAUAUUUUUAAUUUUUUGUAGAGAUGGGGGUCUUGCAACAUGGCCCAGGUUGGUCUCAAACUCCUGGCCUCAAGCUAUCCUCCUGCCUCAGACUCCCAAAGUGCUAGUAUUAAAGGCAAAAGCCACCAUGCCUAGCUAGCUUGUUUUCUUUUGAAUGGCCUGGGAACCUGGUUCUCUGUAUUUGAGCCACAAUUGAGGCAGGAGAAUAGGGGCUGUAGACAGGGAACCUAAGGCCGAUUUAUGCUGACUUUUUAGAACUAAAUCAAAUGAUUCUGAAACAGAAAAGGGGACAUUAGGUUAAAAACUAAGGAAAUUGGAAAAAAAUGUAGACUUCAGUUAAUAAUAAUAUAUCAAUAUAGGUUUACUAAUUGUAACAAAUGUGCCAUUUUAACAUAAGAUAUUAACAGUGUGAGAUACUGGGUGUGGAGUAUGUGGGAACUCUUCACUAGUUCUGUAAUUUUCUGUAAAUCUAAAAUUGAUCUAAAAAAAGCUUAUUAAAAAGCAAAAAAUAUAUGUAUCAAAAGGAAAACCCCAACUUUCCACACCUAAGUAACAAAAGAACCAGAGGUUACUCCCUUUUCACCUCCCCUCCUCCCCCGUCACCACGCGGACUUACUUUCUUCAUGGCAGAUGGAAAAUUAAAAGUACCUUUGACUGGUUGCUUUCCACAACCAACCAGACGUUUGCAUAGAGUCUAAUCUUUGUAACUUCACUUCAGCUUCUUGGUUGCUUUCCACAACCAAUCAGAUGUUUACAUAGAACGUGACCUUUGUAACUUCACUUCAGCCUCUGAUUGGUUGUUUUCCACAACCAAUCACACUAAUGACAGACUACUACUUUAUUUGCAUGGGGUGUACACCAAGUGGACAAAGAAAAACCUCUAGAGGGUAUUUGGACCCCAGAAGAUCCUGUAACCAAGGCCACUGAGCCGCUGCUUAGACCCGCUCCCACCCUGUGGAGUGUGCUUUCAUUUUCAAUAGAUCUCUGCUUUUGUUGCCUCAUUAUUUCCUCGCUUUGCUGUGCGUUUUGUCCAAUUCUUUGUUCAAAAUGCCAAGAACCUGGCAGUCAAGACCCUCCACCGGUAUCUCAGUGAGGAGGCAUCCUCUGUAUGACAUGUGACAACCAGAGGUGAUUCCCUUAUCAAUCCAGGGUAGGAGGUGGGGGGACAUGUUGAUCCCCAUUCCUGUUUCACAGGAGCCCCCAUAAGGUGGCUGGAGAACCCUGAUGUCUUCCUCAGUCCUCCUGCCUGAUUCAUCUGCCCCAGGUCAAACACAGAAACUUCUGUCCUGGUGACAGAAGAACUUUAUAGAAACUUCAUGGAAAAGGUUGGGCUGAACUCAGAAUAAAGAUGUGGCUGGAGGGACAGGAGCUAUAACUGCUCCGUAGACCCCACGCCCACCGUGGGCCUCUCUGUCACAUGGUGGGGCCCCUGCCGCAGCAGUGAUCACCCCAGCCCUGAAAAUGCUGCUUUUGGAGGAAGGUUUCCGUUGAGAUCAGCGUCAGGAGUGGAAAGCUUCCGAGGUAGCUGGGGGCUGCUGGCGGAAUUUCACCCACAGAAGAGUGUCAUUUGGCGGCACAAACUGAGAGAGAGCUCAAGUGCCCUUUGGUGGGGCUGCAUCCUCCAUGGAAGGCAUUCAGUGUUGCAGACCUUUAUGUUCCCCGCUUCCUGCAUUUAUAGACAAGGAAAUGAAGGUCCACAGAGGGUCAGGUCACACAGGCAGCUGGGGAGAGUGUGGGAAUGGGACCGGGUCCUCAGGCUCUGAGUCCAGUCCUCUUUCCUCCACCUCCAGGCUGCGAGGUUGUGCUCACACGGCUGCCACAUCACAGCCCCUGUAGCGAUGCCUACAGCUCAGUAGAGAGGGUGUAGUGACAACAGGUGCAAAGGAAAUGACACAGUGGGAUUGUAAGGGCCUUGGGUAAGAGGGACGAGGCUGUGGCUGGCACCGGGAGCCUGAAACCCCUCUCCACUUGGCCACUUGCACAAGACUGGUCCAGCCACAGCCUCAGGCUCUGUCCUCACAACUGCCAUGAUUUAAUCUGUGGCCUUUGUGGCUUACAGGGUGCAUUACGGAGCACUGAGUAAUUUAUGUGUUCAUGAAACAUGGGUUCUGCUCAUCCCUGGAGGGCUCCAAAGGUGGCAGGAAGAUGGAUGACUGGCUUAGAGACCCACAAAGCUCUGCAGAAUCUCACCUCUGCUCUUGUGAGCUAUUCUCAGAAACUAGCAGGGACUCAGCAGCUGCUCCACCUGGAAUCCAUGCUGCCCCAGCCUGGGCUGAUUCGGGUGCAGCAACACAGGGAUCAGAGGAUAUGGGGCCCUUGAGUGCAGAAAGAGGCCUCAGGUUAUUUAGAGAAGCAGUUCAGGCAGUCAGGGCCCUGAGCAAAACCAUCCCGGCCUCCCGGUGCUGCCCACCUCUCCCUCUUGGCUGCCAGAAGGAGACAAGGAUUCUAAAGACCAUUUCCACAUGGAGAAGCUGCCAGAACAAGCACUGCUACCCUUGGAGGCCAUUGACAUUGUGAGGUCGCUGGGACUGAAAGGAGGUUGACCAGAAGUUCUGUUUGGCAAUGCAAAGCCAGGAGGAAAAGUUAAUGGAGUUUGUCCCCCGGGUCCCAAGAAAGCUGACCCAGGACGAUGAAGCUAGAAUUUGUGUUCUAGGAGGUGCUGCUUCUUCCAGGAAAGUCUACUCAAAGCACACACUGUGAGCUGCUGCAUGUCUCUUGAGCUAGUUCACUGCAGUUUUCAUGAUGAAAGUGAUCUGUUUCAGUAAACUUUCUGUUAUUUGAGAGCAUGGGAAAAAUAUUUGCUGUGAUUUCCCAAUUCCCCAUUUUUUCUGAUUCUUUGUUGCAGUUUCCACAACUUUGUUAUCAGGCUGUGACAGAGGUUUGUGAACUGAUGAAAGCUCCAGAGCCUCCCAGGCCCUCUGAGUCUGAUGCCUGCACUCCACAAUCAGGCCUCAAGCUCAGGGCGCCUGCCACCAACCCACGCUGGGCUUCAGGGGCAGGCAGCACUUGAAUGGGGUUUGGUUAUUGUCUUUCUUUAUUUUCUCUUAUUUUAAGCCUUAAAAAAAAAAAGAUAAGGUCUUGCUCUAUUGCCCAGGCUGGAGAGAAAUGGUGUGAUCAUAGCUCACUGCAGCUUUGAAUUCCUGGGUUCAACCGAUCCUCCCACCUAAGCCUCCCGAGUAACCAGGACUGCAAGUAUGCACCACCACACCCAGUUAAUUAAAUUUGUGUGUGUGUGUGUGUGUAGAGGUGGGUUCUUGCUUUGUUGCCCAGGCUGGUCUUGAACUCUUGAGUUCAGACAAUCCUGCCACCUCAACCUCACAAAGUGCUGGAAUUACAGGCGUGAGCCACUGCACUCAGCCUCCUUAAGCCAUUUGCUUAAGUGGCUUUAUUGCAAAACAAUAUCAGAAUAACAAAGAAAUAUAAGGUCAAACUUUCCCUGUUCCCAUCUAGUCCAAUAAGCAUUGCUGCUCUUGCCAGGGAUUCUCGCCCAUCUCCAUGUGCCAGUGCAAUCCAUACUGGUUGUUCUCCUUGGCUACCCCACAUCUGAGUCUCUGCCUUGUCUGCAUUCUUCCCCACUUUAUGAAGAGAUGAGUCAGUGCCUGAUUUUUUCUGCCUCUCUUGUCACUAGGGCACAGCCAUGUGCAUGGGCCCUGUCACUCAGAAGCCCCCAUCCACCAACAACAUGGCUCUGGGGGCCUCCUCUCUCUGGAAGAAUUGGCAGUUUUAGCAAGAAAGGUUUUCAGAGGCAGCAAUGAUGGUGGAGAUGUCCAGGGCCAGUGGCAGGUCAAACCAUUCUCUGUGUCAUUUGGGGCAGUGUUUAUGCUGUCCCUCAUUUUGGUUCCCUAAGCCUCCGAACAUGUACGUGAAUUUCCGAAUAUUCUCAAUUAAAUUGUUUUUCUGUUGAAAUUGGCCUGGUUGCUUUCAACUAUGACAAACCUAGCUAUAUAAGUAUUAUUUUGUAGUGUUGGGAUUGAUAGAACUUUAUGUUCUACACAUUAGCAGAAUACCAUGUGUAUUUUUCCAUUUGACAUAAUCUUUUAUCUUUCCAUUGAUAAGUAUUAUUACUAUUUAGUGAUAUAUUAUUUGAGUUCUCUUGCCCCUUUUGGGUAGCCCAUGUUAACAGUAAUACCCAGCUGCUACACUGAGAGCCUCUGAGACUUACUGGCUUCAGGGGAGACAGCACAUUAUCAGCUGUGGUGGCCAUGGCCGAGACUCCUUUUGCCUGAGAAAAGCAGAGGAAAAUGUAGAAGGGACUUCGUCUUGCAUCUGAGACACCAGCACAGCCACAGGGUGGUAGAGCACCAAGGGGGCUUUUGGAAUCUUUGAUUCUGGGAUGUGGCUCUUGGAAGGCAUUUCUGGACUUGCCCUGGGCCAGGGGGAGCCCACUGUCUUAAAGGGUGAGUCCCAGGCCAGGCAGCAUUUGCCACAGUCGACUGAAGAGCCCUGGGGGCCUUCAAGGGACAUAGAAGGUAAUCUGAAAGUACUCCGCAUAGGCCUGUGGGGUGGUGGCCAUGGGGCAAGGCUGCCCUGCCUCUGGAAAGGGUAGGAGAGAGUGAGAAAGACUGCAUCCUGUUGUCCGAGUGCCAGCUCAGCCACAGUACAAUAGAACACCAGCUAGGCUCCCAGCCAGCACCUCUGGACCAGCCUGGAAACUGGGGGUAACUCAUCGCCCUGAAGGGAAGGACAAAGGCCUGGCUGGCUUUGCCGUCUGCUGAUUGUUGAGCCCUAGGCGGGGAGCGGUUACAGUCGGCCUUGGGUGAGACUCAGAGCUGCACUGGCUUCAGGUCUGACUCAGCACAGUCACAGUGAUGGUGGCCACAGGGGUGCUUAUGUCACUCUAUCCCAGCUUUAGGUGGCUCAGAACAGACACACUCCAUUUCUUUGGGAGAAAGUAAGAAAGAGAACAAGAGUCUCUCUGAUAAUCCAGAGAGUUCUCCCAGAUCUUGUCCAAGAUCAUCAAGGCAAUACCACUGAGUCUGCAAAAACUGCAGUGUUACUGGGCUUGGGGUGCCCCCUAAAACAGAUACAACUUAGAUCACAACACCCAUGGCCUUUUAAAUAUGUGAAAAGCCUUCCCAAGAAGGACGGGUACAAACAAGCCCAGAUAGCAAAGGCUACAAUAAAUACCUAACUCUUCAAUUCCAGACACAAAUGGACACCUACAAGUAUCAAGACAUUCCAGGAAAAAAAUGACCUCACCAAAUGAACUAAAUAAAGCAUCAGGGACCCAUCCUGAAGAAACAGAUACGUGACCUUUUAGACAGAGAAUACAAAAUAGCCACUCUGAGGAAACUCAAAGAAAUUCAAGAUAACACAGAGAAGGAAUUCAGAAUUCUAUCAGAUAAAUUUAACAAAGAGAUUGAAAUCAUUCAAAAUGAUCAAACAGAUACUGUGGAGAUAAAAAAUGGAAUUGGCAUACUAAAGAAUGCAUCAGAGUCUUAAUAAUAGAAUUAAUCAAGUAGAAGAAAGAAUUAGCUUGAAGACAGGCUAUUUCAAAAUACACAGUUAGAGGACUCAAAAGAAAAUAGAAUAAAAAAUAAUGAAGCAUGUCAAAGAAUCUAGAAAAUAGCCUCAAAAGGACAAAUCUAAGAGUUAUUGGCCUUAAAGGGGAGACAAAGAAAGAGAUAAGGGUAGAAUGUUUAUUCAAAGGGAUAAUAACAGAGACUUUUCGAAACCCGGAUAAUAAUAUCAAUAUCCAAGUACAAGAAAACAGAACACCAAGCAGAUUAAAUCCAAAGAAGACUGCCUCAAGGCAUUUAAUAAUCAAAUUCUAAAGAUCAAGGGUAAAGAAAGGAUCCUAAAAGUAACAAGGGAGAAGAAACAGAUAACAUACAAUGGAUCUCCAGUAUGUCUUGCAGUGGACUUUUCAGUGGAAACCUUAAAGUCCAGGAGAGAGUGGCACAACACAUUUAAAGUGCUGAAAGAAAGAAACUUUUACCCUAGAAUAGUAUAUCCAGCAAAAAUAUUCUUCUAACAUGAAGAAAAAAUAAAGACUUUCCCAGGCAAACAAAAGCUGAGGGAUUUUAUCAGCACUAGACCUGUCUUAUGAGAAAUGCCAAAGGGAGUACUUCAAUCAGAAAGAAAAGGAUGUUAGUAAGUAAUCAUGCGAAAGUACAAAAUUCAUGGGUAAUAGUAAGCACACAGAAAAACACAGAAUUUUAUAUCCCUGUAACUGUGAUGUGUAAACUACUAUUAUUCUAAGUAGAAAAACUAAAUGAUGAACCAAUCAAAAAUAAUAACUAUAACAAUUUUUCAAGCCAUAGACAGUACUAUAAGAUAUAAAUAGAAACAACAAAAAGUUUAAAAUCAGGACAAAGUUAAGACGUAGAGUUUUUAUUAGUUUCCUUUUUUUUUGCUUCUUUGUUUCUUUGUUUAUGCAAACAAUGUUAAGUUGUUAUCAGCUUAAAGUAACAGGUCAUAAAGAAGCCAGUCAUGGUGUCUCACACUUGUAAUGCCAGCACUUUGAGAGUCCAAGGUGGGUGGAUCACUUGAGGUCAGAAGUUUGAGACCAGCCUGGCCAAUAUGGCGAAACCCCAUCGCUACUAAAAAUACAAAAAUUAGCCAGGUAUGGUGGCACAUGCCUGUAAUCCCAGCUACUCAGGAGGCUGAGGCAUGAGAACCCAGAAUGUGGAGGUUGAAGUAAGCCAAGAUCACACCACUGUACUCCAGCUUGGAUGACAGAGCAAGACUCUGUUUCAGAAGGAAAAAAAAAAGUCAUAAGAUAGUAUUUGCAAGCCUCAUAGUGACCUCAAACCAUAAAAACAUACAAUGAAUACACAAAAAGUAAAAAGCUAGAAACUAAAUCAUAUUACUAGAGAAAAAUCACUUUCACUAAAGGAAGGAAAGAAAGAAGGCAGAGAACAUCACAGAACAACUAGAAAACAAGUUAACACAAUGGCGGGAGUAAGUUCUUACUUAUCAAUAUUAACAUUGAUUGUAAAUAAGAACACCAAUAAAAUGAAAGAUUACAUCAAGUUAAAAAGUUAAAAAGCUUCUGCACAGCAAAGGAAACAGUCAAUAAAGUGGUAACCCCGCAGAGUGGGCAAAAAAUAUUUGCAAACUACCCAUGUGACAAGGGAUUAAUAACCAGAAUAUAUAAGGAGCUCAAACAACUCUAGAGAAAAACAAAUCUAAUAAUCUGAUCAAAAAAUAGGCAAGAUAUUUGAAUAGACAUUUCUCAAAAAAGACAUACAAAUGGCAAACAGUCAUAUGAAAAGGUGCUCAACAUCAUUGAUCAUCAGAACAAUGCAAAUAAAAACUACAAUGAAAUGUCAUCUCAUCCCUGUUAAAAUCGAUUGUAUCCAAAAGACAGGCAAAAACAAAUGCUGGUGAAAUGUGGAGAAAAGGGAACCCUCAUACACUGUUGGUGGGAAUGUAAGUUAGCCCAACCACUAUGAAUAGUGGUUUGAAGGUUCCUCAAAAAGCUAAAUAUGGAGCUACCAUAUGGUUCAGCCAUCCCACUGCUGGGUAUAGACCCAAAAGAAAGGAAAUCAGUAUAUUGAAGAGAUGUCUGCACUCCCGUGUUUGUUUCAGCACUGUUCACAGUAGCAAAGAUUUUGAAACAACCCAAGUGUCCCUCAAUAGAUGAAUAGAUAAACGAAAUGUGGUGCUUUUACACAAUGGAGUACUGUUCAGCCAUAAAAAUGAAUGAGAUCCUGUUCUUUACAACAACAUGGGUGGAAAUGAAGAUCAUUAUAUUAAGUGAUAUAAGCCAGACACAGAAAGACAAACAUUACAUCUUCUCAUGUACUUAUGGGAUCUGAAGAUCAAAAUAAUUGAACUCCAUGGACAUAGAGAGUAGAAGAAUGGUUACCAUAGGCUGGGAUUAGUAGUGGGACAGGUGGGGCAGGGGGCAGGUUAGGACAGGUAAUAGGUACAAAAAUAAUAGGAAGAAUGAAUAAGACCUACUAUUUGUUAGCAUAAAAUGGUACUUGUAAUCAAUUACACUUAAUUAUAUGUUUUAAAAUAACUCAAAGAGUAUAAUUGGAUUCUUUGUAACACAAAGAAUAAAUGUUUGAGGAGAUGGAUACCCUAUUCAGCAUGAUGUGUUAUUAUGCAUUGCAGGCCUGUAUCAAAGCAUUUCAAGUACGCUAUAGAUAUAUACACCUACUAUGUACUCACAAAAAUUAACAAAUUAAAAAAUUAAAGAAAACAGAGUGAGAAUGGGAUGGUGAGCAGGUGGUAUAAGGUAUAUGAUAUUGGUGUUCAGACUGUUAUCCAAAACCCUAAGAAUAGGCCAGGUGCGGUGGCUCACACCUGUAAUCCCAGCACUUUGCGAGGCUGAGGCGGGUAGAUCAUGUGGUGAGGAGUUCAAGACCAGCCUGGCCAAGAUGGUAAAACCCUGUCUCUAGUAAAAAUACAAAAAUUAGCCAGGCAUGGUGGUGGGCGCCUGUAAUCCCAGCUACUUAGGAGGCUGAGGCAGAGAAUUGCUUGAACCCAGGAGGCAGAGGUUGCAGUGAGCUGAGAUCAUGCCACUGCACUCCAGCCUGGGCAACAGAGCGAGACUCUGUCUCAAAAAAAAAAGGCAAAAAAAACAAAAAAAUAAAAAACCCAACCCGUCCUCCCCCCCCCCCCCCCCGCAAAACCCUAAGAAUAAAGUUCAGUCAUUUUUUUUGCAAAUACUACUUGGGACCAACAUGGUGCCUGCUACACACGAGGCAUUUGAUUAAUCUGUGUUAAGCGAAUAAAAGAAUCUAGCUAAAGUCAUUAUAGCUAACAUCAUCAUACCUAAUGUUGAUUCUAAGAAGACUAAUAUUAUAUAUUGAAAUCUACAGUAAUCAGAUGUGUUAGUAGGAAAUAAUAUUAUUAACAUAAUCCAGGAGCAUGAAUUUAAUUCUCCCACUAAUAUACUCUUCAAUCAAUAGAGUGCGUCCUCUUUAUGGCUGUGUCCCUACUGUAUGGAAUGCUUGAAAUAAAAGGCAGUAGUUUAAGGAGUCUCACUCUGCAGCUCUCUUCUUUAAAUAUAGACAGUUUAUCUGCCAUGGUGGGGGUCUUCUGGAAGUUCUCUCGCCUACAAAGCAGGCAGUCAUCAUUUUAAUAUUUAUUCAUCACCAUUUAGAUGGCAGGAUUUAUGUUAAGAAAUCGGGUGAACAAAACAGACGUGGUCUUUGCCUUGCAGAGUUUACAAUCUGAUGGGGGAGAUGGGAAUUAAAAAGCCAAAUCCUUAACAUGAGAUAUGACUCUAACUGUUUCAAGGACUAAGAAGAGAGAAUGAAAGAAGAGGCCAAUUUUUGAUCAGGGGAUGAGGCAAGACCUCUCCGAAUAUGUUGCUUUUAGGGAGACUGUCCCUGACAUUUGAAUCAGAAUGAAUGAAUGGUUUUGACCAUGUUGACUGUGUUAUAAAGAAAUCAUCCCAAAGAUGCUUUGCAUCUAGUAAAACGCUCAAUACAUAUUAGCAAUGACUGUGAUACACACUUUUACGGUCAUCUUCUCAUGGCCUUAUCAACAUGCUGUAGGCCCAUGAGUAGACUUACUGGGUAUGGCUUUCCCAAGGUACAGAUUUAUAAAUGAAUUGGCUGAGACUUGAACGUAAUUUUCCUUAUGGCUACAUCGGUGCUUAUUUCUCCAAAGCUAUUUUGGAAUGGAGCAUGCAGUUAUUGGGGUCUAUGCAUUAUCUUCAUGAGCAUGUAAGUUGCUUGGGGGAACUCUUCCCACAGCUCUGUUAAAGCAGUCAAGCCCUUGUGCCAAGCUCGGGGGCGCUUCAUGUGCACCUUGCUAAAUUCAAGGACAGUUGGGCCAUUCAGGAAGCACAUGGAGUUGGGUGUGACAUGCCUCUUUCUUCUCCCUUCUGACUCUGUCAUUUCUUAAAGACUCUCAUGAAACUAAUGACAAGAUGAGGCAAGAAAUCACAUUACACUUUAUAAGGGGCUAAUUAGGUAGAUAUGUUAAAAAGUGUUCCCCGUGGUGCUGUUUCACGGUUGCGCUGUUGGUAAUCAGCACUUGCCUUCAGAAUGUCAGGAUAUGAAAAGCGGAGUGGCUUGCCUUGCUGGGUUCUGCUGCGCAGAUGAAAUGAGUGAAGUGGAGUCUUGGGAAUGUGCUCCUCUAGCAGAGUGCGAGUCCUUUGAAGGGAUACUUUCGUCUGGUAGUGUAUAUACUUUGGUCCUGGCUGAUCCUUUGAGCAUUCAAGCAGAUGUACAAGCUCUUCAAGAGAUCCCUCCAGCCUCCAGUAUAGAGUUUCCUUGGCUUAAAUAAGAUGUUUAUGGGCUGGUGCUAGGGGGUGGUGGGGAGUCCAGGUGAAAAGCUUUUGGAGGUUGAGGUGGGCUUCUCAGCUGACUCUGAAUUAGCACAUCCAUCCAUGAACAGCAGGCCCCUAGACAGAUAUUGGUCAUGCUGAGAUUCAAAGUGGGGAGACGCACUUUUCCCAAAAAGAAAAACCUGUCGCACCAUUUGCCUUCAGUGUGCUUCAGGCUGAAAACCUAAACAGCCAUGCUAUCAGUUCUGGGUGAGCAGACUAUACCAGGGGAAGAAUGGAAAUGAGAGUGAGGAAGUUCCUGGAGCACAUCUGGGUUGAGGACACACAGGGAGAAUGAUCAGAACCAUCCCUGGCUCAUCUUUGGGGCCUGUUAGGGUUCCUACCCUGCAAACAACAGUGUCUGAAUAAUCUAUGUUAAAAGGGAUUUAUGGGACAUAUAAUGUGGGCUGAAGAAACGGGUUUGGGAAGCUCAAGAUGCCCAAGGAUGGGAAAUCUUCGUCCCCUCCAUGUGGCUGGCAACAUGUGGCCACUGCUGCCACUGCAGAGGACAACUCGAGUGAUUCUGGAUUCUAAGUACUCAAAGUCCUGGAGGAACCAUCUGGGUAGGGGGCUUGGGCCACAGACCCAUUCCCAAAGAGUAAGGAGUCCCCUUUUACUCUCUUCAGUGAGAGACAAGAUGCUGGGGAGGUUUGCCUCAAGGACAUGACAUGAAAAGAGUAGGUCACCAAAUGAAAUCCAGCUGCUUUUAGAAGGGGAAAUGAACACUAGGCAGCCAGAAAGUGACAAAGGACAAGUAUGCCUGGGUGGGUGCAGAGUCUUGGGCCUCAGGGACCCUGGCACUGAGUGGGAACCUGGUCUGUGCUCGGAUCUCCUGCUGAAACUCAGCCAGCUCUCUGCUCAGCCAGGCACUCCUGUGCUGUCCAAUAGAGUGGCCGCUACCCACAUGUGCUGAUUUAAAUGUAAAUAAAUUAAAAGUGUAUAGAAUUAAAUGUCCAGUUCCUCAGUUGCACCUGCCACAUUCAAGUGCUCACGGGUCUUACAUGGCUAGUGGCUGCCACAUGGGCUGAUAUGGAUAAAAAUAUUUCUGCCAUUUUAAAGUGUUUUAUGAGAUAGCUGUAGAGGUUCAAUAGCCAACCAGGCCUUUCUCCUUAUCUCCGUCUUAUAGGACAUCAAUUCCAAGGACGUUUUACCCUAUGUUUGUCUAUGGAAAGAGAUUGGGCAUCAGAUGUGGAAAUGAGAAAUUAUAUUUACAUAUUUUGCCUUUUUCUGUUUUUGUUGGUGGGUGAUAUGACAACAUGGGUAAAUGCAG
rnacentral:lncRNA from 1 species